UGAACAUUUGGAGACAGUUGAUGGACGCAGGGGAUGAAGGUUCUGGAACUUGUGCUCUUGGUUCCCCGCACUGGGCCUGUCUCCUUAAGUGGUCCUCCCCUCCCAGGCGUGGGGCGAGGUGACACUUGUCACCUGCAAGAGAUGACACCUGGAGUUGUCCUGGGGCUGACCCGAGGGACAGGGGUGAGGCUCUAGGGAAGCGACAUCCUUCCCAUCGAGGGAGCUCUGACUGCACAGGAACCUGCUUUUCCUCAGGAGGACAGACUGGCUCUUUAGUCCCAGGGGAGACCGUCCCUUCCUCGUGAGGAGGCCCCUGUAGCCUGAGCAGUCACACCCAGCAGAAGCCCAGUCCUUGAUACAUAUCCAGUUUUCCAAGCACCAUUUGCUGAAGGGGCUGUCUUUUCGCCA